rnacentral:rRNA from 1 species
ACAUGCCUACAGCAUAGCGUUAAUGCACCAGAUCCCAUUAGAACUUCGUAGUUAAGUGUGCUCAUGCUAUAGUAUUGGGAUGGGUGACUGUUGGGGAAGUCCUAGAAUUUUACAUGCC